UACGUAGGGACCAAGCGUUGUUCGGAUUUACUGGGCGUAAAGGGCGCGUAGGCGGCGUGACAAGUCACUUGGUGAAAUCUCCGGGCUUAACUCGGAACGGCCAAGUGAUACUGUCGUGCUAGAGUGCAGAAGGGGCAAUCGGGAAUUCUUGGUGUGGCGGUGAAAUGCGUAGAUAUCAAGAGGAACACCUGAGGUGAAGACGGGUUGCUGGGCUGACACGUGACGCUGGAGGCGCGAAAGCCUAGGGGAGCAAACGGG
rnacentral:rRNA from 1 species